rnacentral:rRNA from 1 species
AGGACGAACGCUGGCGGCGUGCCUAACACAUGCAAGUCGAACGGGACCAGGGGCAACUCUGGUUCAGUGGCGGACGGGUGCGUAACACGUGAGGAACAUGACCUUCGGCGGGGGAUAGCCGGCCCAACGGCCGGGUAAUACCGCGUACGACCACAUGGGGACAUCCCUGAGUGGUGAAAGCAGCAAUGCGCCGAUGGAGUGCCUCGCGGCCUAUCAGCUAGUUGGUGAGGUAACGGCUCACCAAGGCGACGACGGGUA